rnacentral:rRNA from 1 species
CACCUUUGCUGACGAGCGGCGGACGGGUGAGUAAUGCUUGGGAACAUGCCUUGAGGUGGGGGACAACAGUUGGAAACGACUGCUAAUACCGCAUAAUGUCUACGGACCAAAGGGGGCUUCGGCUCUCGCCUUUAGAUUGGCCCAAGUGGGAUUAGCUAGUUGGUGAGGUAAUGGCUCACCAAGGCGACGAUCCCUAGCUGGUUUGAGAGGAUGAUCAGCCACACUGGGACUGAGACACGGCCCAGACUCCUACGGGAGGCAGCAGUGGGGAAUAUUGCACAAUGGGCGCAAGCCUGAUGCAGCCAUGCCGCGUGUGUGAAGAAGGCCUUCGGGUUGUAAAGCACUUUCAGUCAGGAGGAAAGGUUAGUAGUUAAUACCUGCUAGCUGUGACGUUACUGACAGAAGAAGCACCGGCUAACUCCGUGCCAGCAGCCGCGGUAAUACGGAGGGUGCGAGCGUUAAUCGGAAUUACUGGGCGUAAAGCGUACGCAGGCGGUUUGUUAAGCGAGAUGUGAAAGCCCUGGGCUCAACCUGGGAACUGCAUUUCGAACUGGCAAACUAGAGU